rnacentral:rRNA from 1 species
AGGACGAACGCUGGCGGCGUGCUUAACACAUGCAAGUCGAGCGGAAAGGCCCUUCGGGGUACUCGAGCGGCGAACGGGUGAGUAACACGUGAGCAACCUGCCCUUAGCUUCGGGAUAGCUCCGGGAAACCGGAAUUAAUACCGAAUAUGACUUUGGCUGACAUCAGCAGAAGUGGAAAGUUUUUCGGCUAGGGAUGGACUCGCGGCCUAUCAGCUAGUUGGUGAGGUAACGGCCCACCAAGGCGACGACGGGUA